rnacentral:tRNA from 1 species
ACAUUGUUGUUUCAGUGGUAGAAUUCUCACCUUCCAUGCAGGAAACCUGGGUUCAAUUCCCAGCCAAUGUA